ACUCCUACGGGAGGCAGCAGUGGGAAUAUUGCACAAUGGGGGAAACCCUGAUGCAGCCAUGCCGCGUGUGUGAAGAAGCCGCUUCGGGUUGUAAAGCACUUUCAGCGAGGAGGAAAAGGGUGUGUGUUAAUACCAUACAUCUGUGACGUUACUCGCAGAAGAAGCACCGGCUAACUCCGUGCCAGCAGCCGCGGUAAUACGGAGGGUGCGAGCGUUAAUCGGAAUUACUGGGCGUAAAGCGUGCGCAGGCGGUUUGUUAAGCGAGAUGUGAAAGCCCCGGCUCAAGCCUGGGAAUUGCAUUUG
rnacentral:rRNA from 1 species